GUAGGCAGCGGGUCCAGCCUGGCCCUGAGUCUCCGACCCCAUCAACUCUCGGGUUGCGGACAGCUCUAGGUCGGCCCUGCUCCCCAGCAA
ensembl:miRNA Mir1932 microRNA 1932